AUUGAACGCUGGCGGCAGGCCUAACACAUGCAAGUCGAGCGGCAGCGCGGGGCAACCUGGCGGCGAGCGGCGAACGGGUGAGUAAUACAUGGGAAUCUGCCUGGUAGUGGGGGAUAACUCUGGGAAACUAGAGGUAAUACCGCAUACGUCCUACGGGAGAAAGCGGGGGAUCUUCGGACCUCGCGCUAUCAGAGGAGCCCAUGUCCGAUUAGCUAGUUGGUGAGGUAAAGGCUCACCAAGGCGACGAUCGGUAACUGGUCUGAGAGGAUGGUCAGUCACACUGGAACUGAGACACGGUCCAGACUCCUACGGGAGGCAGCAGUGGGGAAUAUUGGACAAUGGGGGCAACCCUGAUCCAGCCAUGCCGCGUGUGUGAAGAAGGCCUUCGGGUU
rnacentral:rRNA from 1 species